UACGUAGGGGGCUAGCGUUGUCCGGAUUUAUUGGGCGUAAAGAGCGUGUAGGCGGCCAGGUAGGUCUGCUGUGAAAACUCGAGGCUCAACCUCGAGACGUCGGCGGAAACCAUCUGGCUAGAGUCCGGAAGAGGAGAGUGGAAUUCCUGGUGUAGCGGUGAAAUGCGCAGAUAUCAGGAAGAACACCCGUGGCGAAGGCGGUUCUCUGGGCCUUACCUGACGCUGAGGAGCGAAAGCGUGGGGAGCGAACAGG
rnacentral:rRNA from 1 species